rnacentral:rRNA from 1 species
AGAGUUUGAUCUGGCUCAGAACGAACGCUGGCGGCGUGCCUAACACAUGCAAGUCGAACGGUAACAGGGACUUCGGUCUGCUGACGAGUGGCGCACGGGUGAGUAACGCGUGGGUUACCUGCCCAUCAGUGGGGGACAACUUCGGGAAACCGAAGCUAAUACCGCAUACGUCCUACGGGAGAAAGUGGGGGAUCUUCGGACCUCACGCUGAUGGAUGGGCCUGCGUCUGAUUAGUUAGUUGGUGGGGUAACGGCUUACCAAGGCGAUGAUCAGUAGCUGGUUUGAGAGGAUGAUCAGCCACACUGGAACUGAGACACGGUCCAGACUCCUACGGGAGGCAGCAGUGGGGAAUUUUGCACAAUGGGGGAAACCCUGAUGCAGCGACGCCGCGUGCGGGAAGAAGGCCUUCGGGUUGUAAACCGCUUUCAGAUGGGAAGAAGAGAUGAGGGUUAAUAACCCUCUGAUUUGACGGUACCUUCAGAAGAAGCUCCGGCUAAUUUCGUGCCAGCAGCCGCGGUAAUACGAAAGGAGCAAGCGUUGUUCGGAUUUACUGGGCGUAAAGCGGGCGUAGGUGGUUUGUUAAGUCGGAUGUGAAAUCCCGAGGCUCAACCUCGGAACUGCAUCCGAUACUGGCAGGCUAGAGUUCGGGAGGGGGAAGCGGAAUUCCGUGUGUAGCAGUGAAAUGCGUAGAUAUACGGAGGAACACCUGAGGCGAAGGCGGCUUCCUGGACCGAUACUGACACUGAGGCCCGAAAGCGUGGGUAGCAAACAGGAUUAGAUACCCUGGUGGUCCACGCCCUAAACGAUGUCACUAGCCGUUGCGGGUAUCGACCCCUGCAGUGGCGAAGCUAACGCUUUAAGUUGACCGCCUGGGGAGUACGGUCG